GACGAACGCUGGCGGCGUGCUUAACACAUGCAAGUCGAACGAAGAGCGAUGGAAGCUUGCUUCUAUCAAUCUUAGUGGCGAACGGGUGAGUAACGCGUAAUCAACCUGCCCUUCAGAGGGGGACAACAGUUGGAAACGACUGCUAAUACCGCAUACGAUCUAAUCUCGGCAUCGAGGAUAGAUGAAAGGUGGCCUCUACAUGUAAGCUAUCACUGAAGGAGGGGAUUGCGGCUGAUUAGCUAGUUGGAGAGGUAACGGCCCACCAAGGCGAUGAUCAGUAGCCGGUCUGAGAGGAUGAACGGCCACAUUGGGACUGAGACCCGGCCCAGACUCCUACGGGAGGCAGCAGUGGGGAAUCUUCCGCAAUGGACGAAAGUCUGACGGAGCAACGCCGCGUGAGUGAUGACGGCCUUCGGGUUGUAAAGCUCUGUUAAUCGGGACGAAAGGCCUUCUUGCGAACAGUUAGAAGGAUUGACGGUACCGGAAUAGAAAGCCACGGCUAACUACGUG
rnacentral:rRNA from 1 species